UCAAGCUACUAAGGGCAUACGGUGGAUGCCUAGGCGCCAAGAGCCGAAGAAGGACGCGGUAAGCUGCGAAAAGCCACGGGGAACUGCAAGCAAGUAUUGAUCCGUGGAUAUCCGAAUGGGGAAACCCGGCCAUCGUCAUGGAUGGUCACCCGCAAGGGAGGGAACCUGGGGAACUGAAACAUCUAAGUACCCGGAGGAAGAGAAAUCAAACGAGAUGCCCACAGUAGCGGCGAGCGAAGAGGGCAGAGCCCAAACCGAGAAGCUCCGGCUUUUCGGGGUUGAGGACCGGCAGAAUCGAAGUCAGGCCUAGUUGAAUUACCUGGAAAGGUAAGCGAGAGAGGGUAAAAGCCCCGUAGACGAAAGGCAGAGCAGAGAGGCCGAGAUCCAGAGUACCACGAAGCACGAGGAAUUUUGUGGGAAGCAGGGGGGACCACCCUCCAAGGCUAAAAACUACUUGGCGACCGAUAGCGCAUAGUACCGUGAGGGAAAGGUGAAAAGAACCCCGGGAGGGGAGUGAAAUAGAACCUGAAACCGUAUGUCUACAAGCAGUCGAAGCGAAAGCGACGGCGUGCCUAUUGAAGAAUGAACCAACGAGUUAUCUGCACUAGCGAGGUUAAGUGGAAGACACGGAGCCGCAGCGAAAGCGAGUCUUAAGAGGGCGCUAGUUAGUGUAGGUAGACCCGAAACCGCAGUGAUCUACCCAUGUCCAGGUUGAAGCGCAGGUAAAAUUGCGUGGAGGACCGAACCGGUGAGCGUUGAAAAGCUUUCGGAUGAGAUGUGGGUAGGGGUGAAAUUCCAAUCGAACGCGGAGAUAGCUGGUUCUCCCCGAAAUAGCUUUAGGGCUAGCCUGAGGUAGUAAGUAUAGGCGGUAGAGCACUGAUCGGGCUAGGGGCCGUAAAGGUUACCGAACCCUGUCAAACUCCGAAUGGAUAUACUGUAGAGCCUUGGAGUCAGACUACGAGUGAUAAGAUCCGUGGUCAAAAGGGAAACAGCCCAGACCACCAGCUAAGGUCCCCAAUGUCGUACUAAGUGGAAAAGGAUGUGGGGUUUCAUAAACAACCAGGAUGUUGGCUCAGAAGCAGCCACCAUUUAAAGAGUGCGUAAUAGCUCACUGGUCGAGAGACCCUGCGCCGAAGAUUCCCGGGGCUAAAGUACGAAACCGAAGCUGUGGCUGUAUACGUAAAGUAUACGGGGUAGGGGAGCGUUCCCAUAGGGUAGAAGUCGAACUGGAAGGUUCGGUGGACUUGUGGGAAGUGAGAAUGUUGGUAUGAGUAGCGAAAAGAAAGGUGAGAAUCCUUUCCACCGAAAGCAUAAGGAUUCCUGAGCAACGAUCGUCGUCUCAGGGUAAGUCGGGACCUAAUCCGAGGCAGAGAGCGUAGGAGAUGGACAACUGGUUGAUAUUCCAGUACCGGUAGUAAUUGUUUGAGCAAUGGAGUGACACAGAAGGGCAGGCAAGCAUGCGAAUGGAAGAGCAUGUGUAAGCGUGUAGGGUGGUGCAUAGGCAAAUCCGUGCACUGAAAGCCUGAGGCGUGAUGCGGAGUGAGCAGAGAUGCGAGCGAAGUUGUUGACCCCACACUGUCGAGAAAAGCUUCUAGUGAGAGAGCUACCGCCCGUACCGUAAACCGACACAGGUAUGCGGGGAGAGAAUCCUAAGGUGCGCGGGAGAACCCUCGUUAAGGAACUCGGCAAAAUGUACCCGUAACUUCGGGAUAAGGGUAGCCACUGUUGUGAAGUCCCAUGCGGAUGGAGCAUAGAGUGGUCGCAGAGAAGAGGCCCAAGCGACUGUUUACCAUAAACACAGGUGCCUGCUAAAGCGAAAGCUGACGUAUAGGUGCUGACACCUGCCCAGUGCCGGAAGGUUAAGGAAGGAUGUUCGGAUUAGUCCAAAGCAUUCGACUGAAGCCCCGGUGAACGGCGGCCGUAACUAUAACGGUCCUAAGGUAGCGAAAUUCCUUGUCGGGUAAGUUCCGACCCGCACGAAAGGUGUAACGAUUUGGGCACUGUCUCAACGAGGGACUCGGUGAAAUUGAAAUACCUGUGAAGAUGCAGGUUACCCGCGACUGGACAGAAAGACCCCAUGGAGCUUUACUGUAACCUGACAUUGGGUUUUGAUACAUUACGUACAGGAUAGGUGGGAGGCAUGGAAAGCUGGACGCUAGUCUGGCUGGAGCCGCCGUUGGGAUACCACCCUUGAUGUAUUGAAAUUCUAACCGCGAGAGUAACGAAAUCCGGGACAGUGUCAGGCGGGCAGUUUGACUGGGGCGGUCGCCUCCGAAAGAGUA
rnacentral:rRNA from 1 species